CACGGUCCCAAAACCGAUAAUAACCUAGACCCAAGAACGCCUCCACUCCCCUAUAUAGCCUAGCCCAAUCGCCCUACCAUUCUUACCUACCUUUCUUCGCAUCUUAUUCUGAUUCUGAUUCUCUCCCUCUUCCAGUUCCAGCAGGUCAGCUCCAAUAUUUUGUUUUUGUUUUUCUUGCUCCAUCUACUCGGACUUCUGAUUUUUCGUUCGUGCUUUGAUUUUGAGAAUUUCCUUUUCAUAUUUGUUAUUGCUUUGCUUUACUGAAAUUAGGGUUCUCAAGUGCUUUCUCUGAUUCGAACAACGGUAUCAAUGGAGGCUUUGCUUGAUUGAGAUUUUAUAUUAGGGUUUUGGUAUUGAAGCAUCUUCUUAAGGCUGCUUUGUGUGAGUGAGUCUCGGUAGUUAGUUUGUGGAAAGUAGGGUUUAAUUAAUUAAUUAAUGGCGGAUCGAAACUCUGCCCUUGCUAAGCCUAUAUGGAUGAAGCAAGCGGAAGAGGCGAAGUUGAAGAGUGAGGCUGAGAAAGCCGCUGCUGCAAAAGCUGCCUUUGAAGCCACUUUCAAAGAUGUUGACAAAAAUCAUGAAAAGAAACCAGCUUUAUCGGCUGAUGAUAGUGAAUCCGAUGAAGAAGGUGAGGACGAUGAGGAGGAUUUGGCAAACAAACCGAUUGGCCCCGUUGACCCCUCCAAGUGCACGGCCGCUGGGGCUGGCAUAGCAGGUGGCACGGCGUGUGCAUCCUCUUCGUUUAUGGUGGUCACCAAAGAUGCUGAUGGGAGGAAGGUGGCCAAUGGGGGAGCACAGAUUAAGGUGAAGGUGUCACCAGGGGUUGGUGUUGGAGGAUCGGAGCAAGAAGGGAUUGUCAAGGAUAUGGGCGACGGCACCUACACAGUUACUUAUGUUGUCCCCAAAAGAGGGAAUUAUAUGGUUACUAUUGAGUGCAAUGGGAAACCCAUCAUGGGUAGCCCCUUCCCGGUCUUUUUCAGUGCAGGUACCAGUAGUGGAGGACUGCUGGGUUUGGCUCCUGCAUCCACAUUUCCAAAUCUAGUUAACCAAACCAUGCCCAAUAUGCCAAACUAUUCAGGGUCUGUUUCAGGGGCGUUCCCAGGAUUAUUGGGAAUGAUUCCAGGCAUUGUUCCUGGUGCCUCAGGGGGCGCUAUUUUGCCUGGAAUCGGUGCAUCUCUUGGGGAAGUUUGUCGAGAAUACCUUAAUGGUCGUUGUGCCAAAACUGAUUGUAAGUUGAACCACCCGCCUCACAAUUUGCUAAUGACUGCAUUAGCUGCAACAACCUCGAUGGGGACGGUCAGUCAAGUUCCUAUGGCACCCUCUGCAGCUGCAAUGGCUGCUGCUCAGGCAAUUGUUGCUGCCCAAGCCCUACAAGCCCAUGCAGCUCAGGUGCAAGCACAAGCUCAGUCAGCAAAAGAAUCAUCUGGUUCACCUGAUAAAGCUGGGAAGUCUGAUGCACUGAAGAAAACACUUCAAGUUAGCAACCUUAGUCCACUUCUUACAGUGGAACAGCUCAAACAACUUUUCAGCUUUUAUGGCUCAGUUGUUGAAUGUACCAUCACUGAUUCAAAACAUUUUGCUUACAUAGAGUAUUUAAAACCUGAAGAAGCAACUGCGGCUUUGGCAUUGAAUAAUAUGGAUGUUGGAGGUCGCCCUUUGAAUGUUGAAAUGGCAAAAUCUCUUCCACAAAAACCAGCUCUUUUGAAUUCUCCACUGGCUUCCUCUUCUCUUCCACUGAUGAUGCAGCAAGCUGUUGCCAUGCAGCAGAUGCAAUUCCAGCAGGCUUUGCUUAUGCAACAAACUAUGACUGCACAACAGGCAGCAAAUCGAGCUGCAACAAUGAAGUCGGCAACAGAGUUAGCUGCAGCGAGAGCUGCUGAAAUAAGUAAGAAAUUAAAAGUUGACGGAGUUGGAAAUGAAGAGAAUGAAGUGAAACAAAAAUCAAGAUCACCAUCCACUACUCGUGCGAGGUCAAGGUCAAAGUCUAGAUCACCAGUCAUUUAUCGUCGAAAGCGGAGGUCUCGUUCUUACUCACCUCCAUCCCGCCACCCUAGGGAUCGUAGAUCUAGAUCACCAUUGAGAUCUCACCAUCAGUCUGGCUAUGACAAUGAAUGGUGGUCAUAUCGAGACAUUCGGGAUGGCAGUGACAGAACUAGAAGGCGAGAUUCAGAAAGAUCACAUGAUCAUCAUUUAUCUGCUUCGAGAAGACAUAAGAGCAGGAGUGCAAGCCCUCUAACAAGAAAAUCAUACCGAGCUGAUUCAGUCUCACCAAAACGUCACCGAGAAAGUUCACCAUAUAGAGCAAGGAAAUCAUCUCGUGUUCGUUCAAGAUCACCAACUCAUCAGAGAGUACGUAGGUCAUCUCCAAAAAUUGCUGAUGAAAACAAGUCAAAACACAGAAGACGCUCUAGGUCAAAAUCUGUUGAUGGUAAGCAUCUGUCUGGUGAGAAAACAGAGGAGUCUCGAGAUGAAAAAUCUAAGUUUCAUGAUCGAAGGCGUUCCAGGUCCUUAUCUAGAGAAGAUAAACUUCAUAGGAGCAGCAGGUCAACCCCAAGAGGUAUGGAUGAAAAUAAAUCCAAACAUAGAAGGCGGUCCAGGUCAAAGUCUUUAGAAGGAAAGCACCAUGCCAAUGAGAAAUUAGACAAAUCUAGAGAAGAUAAACCAAAACAUCGUGACAGAAGGCGGUCCAGGUCAAAGUCUUUGGAAGGGAAGCAUCACUCUGAUAGGAAAGUAGAUGAAACAAGAGAUGAGAAGUCUAAACAUCGUGAUAGAAGGCAGUCCAGAUCAAGGUCCGUGGAAGGUAAGCGAUACUCCAAGGAAAAAGUGGAUGAAAGCAGGGACAGAAAAUCAAAGCAUCGUGACAGAAGACGGUCAAGGUCAGUGUCUGUGGAAGCUAAGCACCAUAGAGGAAGCAGGUCAUCCCCUGGUAAAUCUAAACACAGGAGGCGCUCUAGGUCAAAUUCUGCUGAAGGGAAGCAUCACUCCUAUAAUAGAAUAGGGGGAAGUAGAGCUGAAAAAUCGAAACUUCAUGAGAAAUCACUGUCCAGUUCAAUAUCUGCAGAACAUAAGCAUUGUAGAGGCAGUAGUUUGUCACCGACAAGUAUGGAGGAAAAUGAAUCAAAUCAUGUAAGCCUAUCUAGGUCAGAAUUUGCUGAAGGGAAACUUAAUUCCAAUGAUGGGAGGGAUGAAAACAGUUAUGAAAUAUCAAAGCAUCAAGAAGAUGUGAAAGAGGAAGCAGAUUCCACUUUGAAGGAUUUGAUGAGCAUGAAUGAUAAUGGGAUGUUUAUUUCAGAACCUGAGGAUUGUAACUCAAAGGAAUUGGUGGUGGAAAAUAUGGCAAUUGAAUAUGACCAGGAUCCAAAAAAGGCAUAUUUGACAAAUGUUAACAGCGAAGGAGGAGGUUCAUUUUUACCAAGUUGUAGAAUCUCCUUGGUUGAAGAGGAGCUAAGGGAACAUGAAGCAUCUUUAACUGAGCAUAUAGAGCUAGGAAUGGAAGAUCGAGAUAAUUGUGAGAAGUCAGCCAAAGUGGAUAAUAGUGACAGAACUGGCUCAAACCAGCGCGUGGAUUGCAUUAAUGAUGAAUCAGAGUUUGUGAUUAGAGAUAGGUCUUCAAUUUCCCCAAUGCUGAAGGCUCAACCGAGAAGCUCUAUCUCACCCGAGGCGGAUAUGUUUCCUGGUGACUUCAGUAUAGAAGAUAUAAACCAAUGCUAGAAGUAUAUCGUGGACCAUGGGGUUGCUGUUUUCCAAGAUUUUUCAUGCUGAGUGAUGGGUGCAAUUUCUCCGAAAAGGGCUCAGUCUGGUUUCCAUGAAAGAUUGCUUAAUGUUACUUUUGGUGCUCGGAAUUUUCUGGCGGUUGUUUGCUCUUCACAAAUAUGCUUUGUGUUUGUUUAUUUCUUUGCAGGUCCUUAUGGAAUUGACCGGGACUAUAGUCUUGAAGCUGGUCUUCCUGUGUUUUAAGUAUUUGAAGAAGUUUCAUGCUUUCAACCACAAUCGGCCAUGCAUGUUUGUAGCGAGCUUCUUUUACUGCUUGAUGAUAGUAUCCCCAGCACAUGCAGGUAUCAUGGUGAUUUUCAUUGGAGCUUUCUGACAUUCAAUUUGGCAGGAUUGAUUUUCUCUGAUAUAAAUUGAGAAAUUGUUUUGGUUAGGUAAGGGUACCCUUAAGGUCAAGUGAAAGUGUGAAACCAGAUGUUGCUGGGAUGAAUUGCAUCAAAAUUCCAGUGUUGUGUAUGAGCAGAUUGCCUGACUCACUUUACAGUCCUUGCUAAAACUUAUGGUGAAAUCCAAAUAUUGAUUUAUAUCAGGUAAUAUUCCAAGCAACUGUUGGGUUGAGUUCAUUUUCUUUAUAGAAGCUUUCAUUUAAGUUUGCACAUUUGGUUACUCCUUAGGGUAUUUUUAACUGUGCCCUGCAGUGACUCAAUCUGGGUAGAUCACUGGAAUUUUGUACUCGAUCUUGAUCUUAUAUUAUGGAACUAAUCUGAAAUAGUAUUUGGCUCUA